AUGAGGUCCCUGAGGACAGAGGGCGAGUGUUCACUGCAUCAAGCCCGAGCAGCAGCCUGCCAUAGCCCACGAGAUGCUUCCCUUCCCACGUGCAGUGAAGGUUCCAUGAGGGCUGGGUCUAACUCGGCCGGGUUUACUGCUGAAUUAAUGAGAUGGAGCUCCAGGGCCUGGCUCGUCGUCGUGACUCGUCUACACGUGCUUCGGGAAGAAAUGACUAGUGUCCCCAGCAGGAGAGACGAGCCACAGACAGGUGAGGGGACGCCUGUUUAUCUGGGAUAGAGGGUAAGAAGGCAAGAGCAGCAUACUGUACUCACUCCCAGAGUGGGGUCCCUAGAAGGGCAGCGCCGCCUUCACCUGUGAAUUCAUUAGAAAUGCAAAUUCUUUUUUUUUUUUUUUAAGAUUUAUUUUUUUACUUGACACAGAGAGAGAGCCCAAGCAGGGGGAGCAGCAGGCAGAGGGAGAGGGAGAAGCAGGCGCCCCUCGGAGCAGGGAGCCCGAUGCAGGGCUCUAUCCCAGGACCCUGGGAUCAUGACCUGAGCCAAAGGCAGCCGCUUAACCAACUGAGCCACCCAGGUGCCCCAAAAAUGCAAAUUCUUUAGGCAUCCCAAACCUAGUGAAUCAGAACCCCUGGGGAUAGGACCCCGCAGUCUGGGUGUGAACAAACCUGGUGAUUUUCACACACACUUAAGUGUGAGGACUAGGAUAGCGAAAGGUACGUACAGAGACACGAGUCCAUGUGCCAGGAGUGAGGAGGGCAGCUAUUAAAUUGAACCAAGCAGAUUUGAGACAAGAGGAUGCAAAAUGCAUGAUGCGGACAAACGACAUUUUAUUAUGCUCAGGCUGAAGACGUGAAUGUAGCUUUGAGGGCAAUGUGGGCUGUCCCGUGCCACCUAGCAGCCAGACAAAAACAACUGUCCGGUGUCCUGAACAUGGUGACUGUGUCCAAAGCACAGAACAUACGCGGUAAAACUGGAGUGAGGUGUCUGUUUGGUUUGGGGGAUAGUCAGAAUUAUUUCUGUUCAUCAAUACUAAACGUGAAAACUUACCACUGACAAAUACCAAGUAAACCCUGUCAUCUCCCCUAGCCUUUCCAUCACACCCGCCCAACCCCUCAAAUGCUUGUGGCGGUUGAUGGGAAAGAACUAAAAUAACUUCAAAGUCCUGGAAUUUGGGGAGAUUGGUAUUACACCUUCACAAAGACAAUCAUUUCACACAUAUGAAAUUCUCCUUCAGAGGGACUUCCAGACCCAGGGAAGGAGUGGAGAGAGAAAUUGGCUGG
rnacentral:lncRNA from 1 species